rnacentral:rRNA from 1 species
UGCGUAGGCGGAUCAAUAAGUCAGUGGUGAAAUUCUGCAGCUUAACUGUAGACUUGCCAUUGAUACUGUUGGUCUUGAGUAUGGUCAAGGUAGGCGGAAUGUGUAAUGUAGCGGUGAAAUGCUUAGAUAUUACACAGAACACCGAUUGCGAAGGCAGCUUGCUGGGCCAAUACUGACGCUCAGGCACGAAAGCGUGGGGAUCGAACAGGAUUAGAUACCCUGGUAGUCC